AAAAAAAGUGGGUUAUACUGUUAAUGGGUGUUGCUCUAAUGACGAAUGCUUCUGCAUUAGUUCCAAUACUGAUUGUUCGAAGGUUUUUCCCCUAGCAGGUGAAACCCUAGUUACUUUUACUUCUUUUUUUUGGCUAAAUUCACAUAUAUAUGCAAGUUUAUCUUUCUUUUGUAGGCUAAUAUACGUAUUUUUCUUAACCUAAUUGCAACAGUGACUAGGCCAGAUUGCUAUAACGACGCGUGCACUGCUGAGUGCACCAAAAAAAAAGGGUUAUACUGUUAAUGGGUGUUGCUCUAAUGACAAAUGCUUCUGCGUUAGCGCCAAUACUGAUUGUUCGGAGGUUUUUCCCCUAGCAGGUGAAACCCUAGUUACUUUUACUUCUCUAUUUUUUUUUUUUUUUUUUUUUUUUUUUUGUUGUCUCAAUUCAUAUAUAUAUAAGCUAAAAAAUGCAAGUUUAUCUUUCUUUUGUAGGCUAAUAUACAUAUUUUACUUAACCUAAUUGCAGCAGUGAGUAGGCCAGAUUGCCAUAACGAUGCGUGCACUACUAACUGCACAAAAAGAAUGGGUUAUACUGUUAAUGGGUGUUGCUCUAAUGACAAAUGCUUCUGUAUUAAUGCCAAUACUGAUUGUUCGGAGGUUUUUCCCCCCAGCAGGUGAAACCCUAGUUACUUUUACUUCUUUUUUUGGCUCAAGACCCAACUUUUUUGUUUAAGCCUCCAUUAGGCAAAUUUAUAAAUGUUUUAUAAAGAGGAAGAGUAGUGAGCCUCAUGUGUGUGAGUAAUAAUGAAUAGUAAUUAUAAAUUUGUUGUUGAGAUCAAAGUUUAAUUUUAACUCAACUUUUAAACCAUUUAUAAUCACAAGGAUUUUGUUUUUCACUAUAUUAUUAAUAGAACACAAGGGAAAAUCGUUAACAGGGGCCACAGAUAUUACAAAAAUGAAAGGUUGGUCCCUGAGGAUGUCAAAUAUUUAGUUGGGACUUCGAUUGGUACUUUUUUCUCGAAGUUUAACUCUCUAACUUGCAGAAAACAAAUCAUUGUUUGAUUUAGCUACAAAUGAGUUUUUUAAUAAAAGUUGACGAAACGUUAAAAAAUUGUGAGCCCUAUAAAAUACAUAGUUAAAAUUAAUUAAUGACUUUCACUUAAAUUUUUAUAAAAUUUGUAAUUCACGUGGCAUUCUAUCGCUAGAUAGUUUAAAAUACAAUUAGUUUUUAAUCCAAUUAUUCACUGUCACGUAUAAUUAUGUCAAGCUUUUUGUCAAAUCAUUAUGGCAAAGUAGCUUUAUCCACAUAUAAAUGGGUAACUACACGUAUAUUUUCUUUCACUCUUAGUCCCCGUUUGGCUCUCAUUAUUUUUAGUUAUAAUUUUUUCUCUAUUAUUUUCAAUCACACAAUUUUCUAUAUAAUAAUUUUACACGUAAAUUGAAAAUUUUUUCCUUCUUUUUCAACAAUACAUUCUCUAAACAAAUACUAUUUCAAAAAUGAAAAAAUUGAAAUAAUGGGGGACAAAAUGGGACUUUAACGCGGUC
rnacentral:lncRNA from 1 species